AACGCGAAGAACCUUACCUACCCUUGACAUGUACGGAAGUCCGCUGAGAGGUGGAUGUGCCCGAAAGGGAGCCGUAACACAGGUGCUGCAUGGCUGUCGUCAGCUCGUGUCGUGAGAUGUUGGGUUAAGUCCCGCAACGAGCGCAACCCUUGUCCCUAGUUGCUACGCAAGAGCACUCCAGGGAGACUGCCGGUGACAAACCGGAGGAAGGUGGGGAUGACGUCAAGUCCUCAUGGCCCUUAUGGGUAGGGCUUCACACGUCAUACAAUGGUCGGAACAGAGGGUUGCCAAGCCGCGAGGUGGAGCCAAUCCCAGAAAACCGAUCGUAGUCCGGAUCGCAGUCUGCAACUCGACUGCGUGAAGCUGGAAUCGCUAGUAAUCGCGGAUCAGCAAUGCCGCGGUGAAAUACGUUCCC
rnacentral:rRNA from 1 species